GAGACAAUGGGGAGUGAAACAAAUGUGGCCAAUUUACAACAGCACUUGCGCAGAAAUGAGAGUUCCAAGACCUUGGACGACUUUUUCCCUUCAAUGUCUCCCAGGUAGAGCUGUAAACGAACCGAAACGAACCGAGUAUCUCAUGUUUGAGCUCUGUUCGUUAAGCGAUUCGAACUCCGUUCGUGUUCGUUCAUUAACUUUCGAACUCUAAAUCUGUGUUCGUGUUCGGCUCGUUAAGUAAAGUUCAUGUUCGUGUUCGUGUUCAUGUUCGACUCGUUUAACAUAAACGAGCCGUUCGCGAACACGCUCGAAAAUUUCGAAUCCAGAUUAUUCUAGACCUUAAAUAUGCCACACAAAUCAUUAAUCAUCCUAAAAAAUAAUUAAAAUACUAAAUGAUUAAAUUCCAUUAUUCAAUAACUGCAUAACCAACAUUAACAUAAAAACAACAAAUAAAACAAAGUAAUUUGUCCUUCAAAUAUAAAAAUUCAGCCAUAAGACAAGUAAAAAUUUUCAGCAGCGGCCAAUGGGGAAGGAAAACAAAAGUAAGGUUGGAAAAGGAAGGGGAAAGUUUUAGAAUUUCUUAUGAGUAACCCUAAAAUUUAUCAAAUGACAAUUAUGUCCUUGUUCGCGAACGCUCGUUAAAAUUCGCGAACAUGUUCGUGUUCGCUCGAUUAUUAAACGAACACAAAAAUUCGUUCGUUUAAGGCUUUCGAACGAGCCUUUAACGAACACGAACGAGCCGAAACGAACCGAGCUAACGAACAGCUCGGUUCGUUUAACAGCUCUACUCCCAGGUCCUAAUAACGAAACCAAAGCCAAAAGGAAAACAAGAAGGGAUAAAGAGUUAAUUACAAAGUACCCCCUAAAAAAACCACAUGCCUUGCCUUGCUUGUCAUUCACAUGGAUGAUGGAACAAAUCAAUUCUCUCAGCUUUUUAUGGUUUCCCAUUGCCGAGCGCUCCUAAAUUG
rnacentral:lncRNA from 1 species